CGCUGGCUGCCGGUGUGAGCUGCUGGAGGAUGGGCUGUGACUCCGGAGGCUGUCUGAGGAUGCUGAAGCUUCACUGCCCUGGCCACUGCCUGGCAUGCCCUCUGGGACCAAGAAAGACCCUGGAGAACACCAGCCUUGCAGGGCCAGCUCCGGGGAGGGCAGGGGCCCCUUCUGCCAGCUUCACUCCUUCAAUCCCCAGAGACUUAGAAGCUGGGGAGUGGGGGAUGGCAGCCUCAGCACAGCGCCAUAGGAGGUCUUAAGCUUUGAGACCCACUUGGACAGUCCCCUGCACCUCCCAGAGGGGCUAUGGAACUUAGAGAUGCCACAGAUGGAAUUCAGAGCCUAUGACCCGACAAAAAGGACCAGAGAGUCUUUAGAAGAAGAUAUUUAUGGAACAUUCGGGGCGGGGGGAGGGCACUUGUACACCGAGUACUGCUUUGGACAUGCCACACAUAUUAUUUCAAUGGCUGAUCAUCCAGUUUUACUGACCAGCCCAAAUGGGUACACUCAGUACCCCCCAAAUGUGGCAGGCCUGGUGUCCCACCCAGGACAAUGCAGGCUGGAGUCCAGAGAUGCCAGUGGUUGCACAGGAAAGUGGGGCCUUGGACUGGGGGCAAGUGGCAGAGCGCUUGCCUAGCAUGCAUAAGGCCCUGGACUCACUCACUAGCAACACACACACACACACACACACACACACACACACACACACACACACACAAACAGUCAAGGCCACCUUUUAACAACUCCACAGACUCGAGUGUCCUGGGGUGGAGUCAUUCAGGGACAGCAAGCCACAAGCAAAACUCUGGGGGUGGGACACCCAAAAGACCACUAGUUAUUGCUCCUUUGUGUCCUGACACUCUCUGUCACUGGAGCCCGCCCUGGUCAUAUCUGGCUCUGGGCCCAAAUAUCACCCAAACUAAGAGAAAACAGUGUAACAUAUAAAGAGAAGUGGAAAGAUUUACUUAAAGUUUUGACCAAAAGUAGGGAGACAGAAACGUUAACUGUCCCCACCUUACCCAAAGCUGCAUCGCAGUGUAUAGAAAAGGGGACACAGAAGCCAGGGGACCCAGUGCUAUCUCUAUUGUUGGAGGGUGAUAUCUAGCCCUGGGUCUCCCUCCCUUCCCACACAGAAGUUCCUGGGGGAAUCCUGACUCACACUGCCUGGCUCCCCUAACACCUCACACUCCACCCACUCUCUCCACCACCUGAAAUAUAGCUGCCGAGAGACCUGUCCAGAGAUUUUGCUGAUAUUCGCCUGCACUACAGGCAACAAGAGUGGAAUUCAUUCCUCCCCUACUUCUUUCUUUUCUUCUCUUUUCUUUCAGCAGGAUCUCAGGUAUUCCAGGCUGGCCUUGAAUUUGCUAUGUAGUCAAGAAUGGCCUCGAACUUCUGAUCCUCCUGCUUCCAGCCCACAGAUCCUGGGGUUAUGGAUGUGUGCUAUCUAUCAUGUCUGGUUUAUGCGGUGCUGAGGACUGAACCCAGAGCUUUGUGUAUGCUAGGCAGACACUCUGCCUACUGAGCUAGCAGGAUGCAUUUUCUGAUGAUGAGAUAGAGUUGAAGACAGGAAGAUGAGGGGUGAGAGGAGGGAGCGGUGAGAUAAGCUGGUAAUUCUAGAACAUUCUCGGAGUGAUGAUUGUGCAAUGGCCGUCAGCACAGUAGAGGGUGUUCUGGAGGAAGGACAUGUUGGCACUGUGUCCAGAGCUCAGGAUGGUAAAGUCAGGAUGUUAUUAAGGUAGGAGGCAGUACAGCUGGGUGGAGAAUCCACAGGUACCUGGUCAGGGAUCUCCCUCACCCAUGGAGUGGCCACAGGUCCUGACUGUCCCAGAAAUAAGGUAAAAUCUCUGUAGUCACCCAGGAGGUCUGGAGGCUGCUCUUUGAGAGAUGAGCCCAAGUGAAUGUGCUGAAGCCCAAGGGGCAUGGGCACACACGGUCAGGUGAUGGGAUGUGAGGGGUGUGGGCACACAUGGUCAGGUGAUGAGGGGUAUGGGCACACAGGUCAGGUGAUGGGAUGUGAGGGGCGUGGGCACACAUGGUCAGGUGAUGGGAUGUGAGGGGCGUGGGCACACAUGGUCAGGUGAUGGGAUGUGAGGGGCGUGGGCACACAUGGUCAGGUGAUGGGAUGUGAGGGGCGUGGGCACACAUGGUCAGGUGAUGGGGUGCGGGUGGCAGAGGGGCAAGAACCCAGGGUCCUUUAGGCCAGAAUCUGGGGCUCACCAUGUGGGCUGGAGGUAAGACGGAGAUGCCAGAACAUAAUUUUACCAUUGAAAGGAACAGGAAGGAAAACAGACACCAAAUCCCAGUGGAAAAGAACUUUCUAAGAAAAAAAAGCCAGGAUGAGUGCUCUUUGUGCAAAAGCUAAAUUCUCAGGUGGCGCCAAAGAAACAUCAAGGUAAAAGAUGAGCAAUGUGUCAGGUAAAUGUUUGACACUAAUGUGACAAAAAAUUAAUACUAUUAACAUGGCAAGAGGUAUUCUGAAGCAAAAUGUUGAGAAAGAUGUGAAUGCACUACAGAUGAUGCAAUGAGUGUGGCCUGUACACACACACACACACACACACACACACACACACACACACACAUGCAUGCAUUCACAUACACACACACAUGCACUCACACACGUAUGCAUGCACUCACACACACACACACACACACACACAUACACGCAUGUCCUUACACACAGUGAGCACACAGCAACAUUCUGGCCCCUUUGCCUGAGUUACAGCAGCUUCUGUUCCGAGGUUCCAGUCAGCUGUAAAGCGACGGAAGUCGCCAUCCCACCCUUCAGCCCAGAGCCUUUAUUGGACUCUGUGUUGACCGACCAUGCACAGAAAGCCAGAUCAGGACUCGUGGGCCGCGGUGGCUUGCCUCAAUGCUGAGGAAGACAGAGCAGGAAACGGCACCUGGAAAACAUUCUUGAUAAAAUCUCACAAGAGUCAAACACAAAGGAUGGCCAGUCUGGGAGAGGCGUGAAGUUGGAAGGAUGUGCACAGGACAAGGCAGGGAGGAGAUAAAUACACCACCAUUAGCAGUGGAGAUUUCCACCCUUUAAAAUACAUAUCUGGAAUGUAAACACAAGAACAAGGUUCUGAGGAUGUCAGGAUCUUCUGCAGGGUGGGGUAAGCCACCUUGGAUUUCCCAGGCUCUGGUCCUCUGGGUCUAGGAAAGCCCUGUUCUUGGAUGGGGGUGGGAAGCUCUGGACUGGAAGGAUGGAUGAUCAAGUGUGUGUGGGCAGGAGGUGAGUGAGUGGAUGGACAGACACACAAGUCCACAGGUGGAUGGGGGGGGGAUAAUGAAUAGGUGGCUGAUGGGUAAAUAGGUGGAUAGACAGAAGGAGGGACAGAUGGGGGACAAAGUGAUGGUUAAUCAGAUGGAAAGAUGGAUGACAGGAUGAAUACAUGCAUGCGUGGGCAGAUGGAUGCAUGCAUGGGUGGAUGCAUGAGUGGAUGGGUGGGUGGAUGCAUGUGUGCAUGUGUAGAUGCAUGCAUGCAUGCAUGGGUGGAUAGGUGGCAGAUGAAUGGACAGGUGGAGAAAUAGUUGGAUGGACAAGGGACUGUAUUGAGAGAUAGGUGAAAGCCUUAGGUAAGGAAGGAUUAGCCACUGGCCCCUCCCGCAGCCUGUACCUUUGCCCUUCUCUCUGGGAGAUACACUUGCCCAUUUCUCUCCACUUGCUUUUUUACUGCAGCUCUGUUCAGCCUCCUUUGACCAGCCUCUUACCCUGAGUCCCAGACAGCUCCCCUCCCCUCCCCUGUACUUGGGCUGUUCAAUAUGCUAGAGUACCGACCCCACACAGCUGCCAUAAAUCCUGCCCUCGUCCCACAGCUGAUCAAUCUCCAAUCAGCUCCAAAGCCCCUGAAUGUCCGUAGCUCGCUCUGGCCAUGGGAGCCACAGCCACAGCUGGCUCUGAAUGCUGCCGGCUACAUAUAUUGAACUUGAAGCAUCGGAUUACAUGUUUGUUCAAUAGCAAUAAACUCCCAAAGUUUUAUAGGGUCAUAAAACUGCUGCCUGGGCUCCCACUUAGGUGGCAUGUAAUGUACACAGACCGGCUUCCCCGCUAAUGGGGCAGUGCAAGUGAUUUGGGGCUAUUAGCUAGAAACAGUACAUCUGCAUUCGCCAAAUUCUCAUCAAUAAAGUGGCCCCACCGGAGCAGAACACACCAGACCCAGUCUUGACAUUCAAGGGAGGAAGCAUGGCAGAGUGCGGCCAGGCCAUGAAAUGGUUACAGAGGAAACAACUAUGGCAAUGGGGGUGGAGGGAGAAUUAGGGGGAAGCAGGGUUCGGAACCAGUACAGAGACGGCAUGCCUGGAGCAUAUGAUACUCAUCCACCCCCGAGGAAGCGUGUGGGUGGCAUCCUCGCAAGGUCCCAGUCUCCAACCCUGCCCUCUGGGGAGGAUGGUUACAGGUGGUAGAGGUGGGAGGGGAACAGGCAGAUAUGGACGGCGAGGUGAAGAGAGGAGAGUAUACGAGAGCCCCAAGGUCGAGGGAUGAUGAAGGUGGUAAUGUCCCUACAGACUCCCAGCUGGGCCCGAUCAGUGACAGAGGAUCGUAAGCAAGGAGAUGCAGCUGCCUUUGGGGGUGUGCUUGGGGUCCACUCUGUGGGCCCAGGGCCAGAGUGAAAAGCUGUUGGGGCAGAAGUGGGAAUGUUGUGAUUUCAGAGGACCAGGAGCCAAAACAGGGAAGUUGUCUCAUUAGGUUGAUCUGCACUGGCCUGUACCCAAAGCCACCAGAAGAAAACCGACCCAGGUCCUCAUUCCUAGACAGUAGCAAGAGACAAAAAUGCGGCUGGGGGCCAAGCACAAGGCAAGCCCAGGCAGGCACAAAAACAUGUGCCCAAAUAAUGCCCAUAAACCCUGGGGUAGCAUCUGCUAGGCCCCUUUCCCGCUAACCUCCAGCACCCUCGAUAGUGAAGAUCCCAUUUCAGCCUUAGCCUGGCUCUUCCUUGACACCAGAGUUGGGCACGUGUAUGACUUUGCCCUGAUCCUUGUAACUUAGCUCUCGAUCCAGAUCCUCAGAAACACAUUGAUUUGCCUGAAUGAAUCAAUAUUUAUUGCAGCUUCAAGGCCUGGGGCCUGAGGAGGGCCUGCAGGCUGAUGAAUGGAGCCAACACAGCUACCUUGCUGACAGGAUUCAUCGAGCAACUUCCUGGUUCCACACUAGCUCCAGAGCCUCUCCCAUACUGGCCCAUCCGGGACAAACUCCCCAGUGAUGGCCUGCCACACACAGACACUGAGCCAAACUCCAUCCUCAAUGAAAGUCCCAGGGGAGUUGGAAGGUGUGAAGAGGACUGGGAGUAAGACCCUAUACUAGGUUCGUGACAGAUCCAGGCCCUGGGUUCACACCACAGAGUGGAAUAUCCAAUGCUGCCAACAUGGCCUCCUCAGCACCUGUGAACAGAAAAGCAGCAGUGACCACGGAUGUCUCUGUGACUGGGCAUCGGCUCCUCUGUCUUCACUGUUCAUGUGAACGGACAGUCCUGGGCCUGCCACAGGGAGAAGGCAGGCCCAUGCUGAGCCUCACCUCAAGUCCAUGUAUGGCCAUGAGACCAGAAAGGACUGAAAGCCCAAGCUAGACAAGCCACUGCCAUGGUGGUCCUAGUCGGCCAGUACUAGCCUUGGCUGCUCUAGAGGGUCUGCAUCUAUCCCCCAACCUCUUCCUUCCUUACUCACCCCUUCCAUAUCCAGUCCUGCCACCACCGGGCAGGGGCCCAUGCCCUGCCCCACCCUGCCCCACCCUGCCUCACCUGCCCACUUCACUGUUUACUUGAAGGUUUUCUUCAAAUGGAUUUUUCACUUAAGUGAUUAUAUUUUGAAAGGAAAUCUUACAGCAGCCCUGGAAAUGGAAAACAAGCUUCGAGGGUGGUAAAUAGAAGGUAUCCACACAAAUAAAAUGAAAAUAAAACAUGUUAUGAAAUCCCGUGAGGCCCCGGCUGCAACAGGCUGAAGCCCGUGCCCAGAAGCCUCAGAACCAUUCAGGCCAGGAGCAGACUGCAGGGCCCAGUCACACGUCAUCUCAGACCCUGGUCACACUCCUGAGUGCUGGGCACACUGGGUUCUCAGUCCUGAUCCACCCUGAUUCUUGGUCCAGUCACACCUUGAUUCUGGGUCCUGAUCCACCCUGAUUUUGGGUCCAGUCACACUUUGAUCCUGGGUCCUGAUCCACCCUGAUUCUGGGUAUGACUUGAGUCCCAGAUAUACCUUGAUUCUUAAUCCUGGAUACAUCUUGAUUCUGGGUUCAGUCACACCGUUAAAACUGGGGCCAUGCACAUUUGGGUUAUGGGUUCUGUUCAAAUUAGGUUUCUGGGUCUUGUUUCCACCUUGAUUCUCGGUCCAGUCACAGCAUUAAUCCAAAAUGCUGCUCAGAUCUGGAACCUGAGUCCUGGUUAUAUCUUGAUUCUGGAUUGACACCUAGAUUUUGGAUCACAGUUACAUCUGGUUUCUGGGUCAUGGUCAUCACAGCUGUAGUCUGCCUGGACUCUGGGUGCUUUUCACAGGUUGGUUCUGGGAGCCACCGGGCCACACCUGGAUUUUACUGUGGCCACAUUUUGGAGGAGGAUCUGCCUCAAAGGUUCACUCAGGAGAGCACCCCACAGAGUGGUGAGAACGUUCUUCCUGUGCUCCGCAGCAUUACAGAAGGCUGCCUGUGAGCACUGCUUCCUGGGGACAUGAAAUGACUGAUUCUUGAUCACAGUUCAGAUGUGUUAUGAAAUCCCGUGAGGCCCCGGCUGCAGCAGGCUGAAGCCGGUGCCCAGAAGCCCCGGACCACUCAGGCCAGGAGCAGACUGCAGGGCCCAGUCACACCUCAGUCUCAGACUUUAGUCACACUCCUGAGUGCUGGGCACACUAGGUUGUGGGUUCAGUUCUGGGGACAGAGAUUCCCACUUCCACUGUCUGUCCAGGCUCCAGGGUCCCAGGCAGCUCCUGUGUGUGGCCCAACACAGAGGAAGGAGAUGGCGUGGCCCAUGCUACCUGCCUGUCUCUUAGACUUACCUGUAUCUAGAUGCUACAUGCGCUGAAAAGCUUUCCUAUCCUAGGUUGAUCUCCUCUUCCAGAUGGACCUGUAGGGGCCUCCUGGCCAGACCUCAUCCAUCCACAUCAAUGAGCAUGCCUCAAAGUCCAGCUUCACUUAAACGGCAAGACGACGCCCACCCAAAUGAAAGCUGGCAGGUUUACCUGCUGUUCUCAGAAGGCCAUAGGACCCCCAGCCUACCCACUGGCCUGAGUAAGAGAGAUGGCCUCCACACGGUUCAGCAGUGUGCCCCCCUGCAGGCCUUAUCAGCGUCUCAACUGAUGUCCCACUAUCUCAAGCUCAGCAACCAGAAGAUGGUGCUCAGUGUGGAAGUUCAGACUCAGAAAAGGUCCUUCCUUAAUUAAAAAUCAGACUUCCCCUCCCAUACUGACUCCUAGGCCUGGCAGAUGUUGCUCAGAGAGAUGUACUCAUCUCCCAGGGUCCAUGGGCGGGAAAACCACUAACUGCGGCUGGCACUUGGUCAUACAGACCUUCAGACAGUUCUGACAAGCCAUUGUUCCCUGGUUCUGGAAUCUGCCCUGCCCAGGGAGUCCUGACCUGCACAUGGCUGUCCAGCAAGGCCUGGCCCAUGUACCAGCAGAGCCCAUACCCAGCAGCCUUUUGUAAGGGCAGCAUUUGUAUUGCUGGGCCCUCAGGAUGUGGCAGCUAUCUACAUCCUGAGGAGAGUAGAAGAAGGACCAGGGGCAUCUCGCAGCCUGGCCAGCCAGGGGCAUCUCGCAGCCUGGCCAGCCAGGGGCAGCUGCCCUCAGGGGCAAGGAGGCAGAAGCUGGCUGGAGGAAAAUGUGGUCAGAGCUGAGGACAAACGGGCUAAGGUUGUUAGAGCUGUGACAAAGAUAGGUGGCCAUACACACUGCUGCCGGGCCAGUCAGAGGGGGGACCCUUGGUUCCUCCUCCCGGCCCUUGUCCUAUGGCCUUAUAUGAUAAGAAUCAACCUAGACCAUUGGCUGCUCUGUCCAGCUCAUCUGCUCAGAAGAGUCAGAGUCAUCCUAAGAGGAUGUGGUCAGAGCCACGGCUAUGUUGGACACCUAGGGUCCCAGGCUGGGAAAGGUGCUCUGAGAAAAACACAGCCAAGGGCCACCUCCCCUCCCAAGUCCGCCAGCCCCAAACUCUGGAGACCCGGCAGGUGGGUCAUUGCUAACUGAUGCCAAUGCCCCCCACACUGCCACAUGCUGCUCAACUGUGUCUGCACUGCCACAUGAUGGGCACUGUCACUAUUCUAUGUGAGCUCAACCCCCCCCAUCUUUCCAAGACAGGAUCUAGUCUCUGUAUAGCCCUGUGUGUCCUAGAAUUCACUAUGUAGCCAGGCUGGCCUUGAACUCUCAGAGAUCCACCUGCCUCUGAUGACCGAGUGCUGGGAUUAAAGGCGUGCGCCACUAUCACCCGGCUGGGUGACUGAUUUUUAAUGGAUUGUUCUGAAGCCAGGCCUGGUGGUUCCAAUUCUCUGUGAAAAUGUGGUUUUGUUUUUUGUUUUUCUUAUAACGAUGGAAAAAGUUAAGGCUGGUUUGGACAAGAAGGUCCCCAGCAUCCUGGACCCCAUAGCAGCCACAGGAGAAGAAGGAUCAGACAGGCAGCCUAUCUCUGCCAUCACCUGGCUCUCCUCAACAGUUUGCCAGAAGCCUCACUCACAUCCAGCUCAGGGACAGCCCCGCAGAGUGGGGCAUGUGUUGUGCCAAGAGCUGUCCAUUCUGUGCACCUAGCACCCUGGGCAGACUUUGCCACUGGGAACUUCAAAAUGGCCUCCUGUACCCUCAUCAUCCUGGAGUGCUCAGAGUGCCCUGUGCAGAGGACGAGGCUGGACACUCUGGGCCAUCGCCAGUCCUGUGAGGCACCUGGUGACCACACUCACCGAACUUUGGGCCAGAGUCACUGUCUAAGAGACUCUUAGGUCAGUAUCUGAGCAAAGUCAUGACGAGCCUGCUGAGGACACAUUGCUGAGACUCUUCAGACCCCCUGACAUCUUUGGUCUGGUGGAGACAGCUUGGGAAGCCAGAGGGUGGGCUUCUGCAGGCCACGUUCAGGGGUGCGUGUCCAGGACCAACAGGACCGGCCCAGGUAGCGCUCCCACACAUAAGGCGGACGCUGUCAGACACAUGUGGCGGGUGGGUAAACUGAGAUAAAGAUGGGGGUCAGAGCCGGGCGGUGGUGGCGCACGCCUUUAAUCCCAGCACUCGGGAGGCAGAGCCAGGUGGAUCUCUGUGAGUUCGAGGCCAGCCUGGUCUCCAAAGCGAGUACCAGGAAAGGC